ACUGCAAAUAAGUUAAGUUCAAAAUACUUUGUGUCAUGCCCUUGCCAUGUGUGCGGAAAGAAAUACCGAACCUUGUCGCCUUUCAUAGGCUGUAAAAUGUGCCGCUGAAAGUGAAAUCAAGGUGCGACAUGU
rnacentral:snoRNA from 1 species